rnacentral:rRNA from 1 species
AUUGAACGCUGGCGGCGUGCUUAACACAUGCAAGUCGUGCGGUAACAGGCGUAGCAAUACGUGCUGACGAGCGGCGAACGGGUGCGUAAUACAUGGGAAUCUGCCUUUUAGUGGGGAAUAACCCGGCGAAAGCCGGGCUAAUGCCGCAUAAGAUCUUCGGAUGAAAGCGGGGGAGUCGUAAGACCUCGCGCUGAUAGAUGAGCCCAUGCCGGAUUAGCAGUUGGUGAGGUAACGGCUCACCAAGGCGACGAUCCGUAGCUGGUCUGAGAGGACGGCCAGCCACACUGGGACUGAGACACGGCCCAGACUCCUACGGGAGGCAGCAGUGGGGAAUAAUUGGACAAUGGGGAAACCCUGAUCCAGCGACGCCGCGUGUGUGAAGAGGGCCU